rnacentral:lncRNA from 1 species
CUAACUCUCUGAGUCCUCGCAACCCUCUGUGGGGAGUUUUCUCCUUAGCUCCAUUUUGGAAAUGGGGGAACUGAGCCAACGACAGGUUGAGUAACUUGCUAGAGGUCAAGUUAGUAUUGAGAGCCAGGAUCUGAACCCAGGCAGUGUAGCUCCUGAGCUUAGGUGCUGAACAACUGUGCUAUUAUGGGAUUUAGCGGAGAUGGAACUCAGUGGUGGCCUAGGUCAGAUACGUGGGGAAGGAGGCUGAGCUCCUUGUCUGGCCUGGUCUGAACUCUGAGAGGCAGGGUUGUGGCAGACGGCUGGCUCGGGAAGGAAUUCAGGCCAGAACCAAAGAUCUGAAGUUCAAUCGUCUUGCGGACAGAAGCAAAGAACCACAGAGGCAGCUCAGAUACAUUUGCCUGAGUUCCCAGCACCACACACCAAAUCCAGUUCCCUUCAGGCUGCAUCUCCGGUUUGUUGGACCUUGGUUUUCCAUGUGUUUUUUUAGCUUUGUUUACUUUCUUGCCACCAGCUCCAAGGAACCCCCAGCCCCUGACUGAGCCAGGCUCUAUCCACCACCCCUUGGAGGGCCAGAGGGAUUCAGGCUCAACCAGCCUUCCUGUCCUUUCUCUCGCUGUGCUCCCAACUUCCAUUUUUCGCUACUGGAUCUAUUGGCCAGAUCUUCCCCAUCAGACCAAAAAGAGGAUGGGAACAACUAUUCAGAUAAUUCAGACACUUAUUCAAGCAAAAAUGAUGAUACUUCUCCUCCUGAAUGAUCCGGAUAGUUGUUUUAAUUCUCAGCUUCACUUUGUCUCUGGAGCCCCAGGCUCUUCUUUGUUCCGUGACUCUAGUUAAAAUUCGGUCCCAGUGAUAAAUAUUUCUGAUCUAAUUGUUUCUUCCACUCCUGUUCCACAGGGGGUGUUUUCAGGGAAAAGGAUCUGUAGGUAAAUGAGAAUUAACUUCAAGCCUGGGCAAUGUUAGAAUCAAAAUAAAGCUGUCAUGGCAGACCUGCUAUCUACAUUUCACUUUCUGGAAGCGCCCCACUCUAUUUCAUCCCUCCCCAACCCCUGACACACGCAGCAGCAAGGAACAAAUCACCAUUUAUUAAACUCUAAUUAUCUCUCCCGUUUCUCAGUACCAUUCUCUGUGUAUGCCUGCCGCACACAAGCCUGUACUGCACUGCCAUUAAAUGAGCACUAGUCUUGUUAG